AUUGAACGCUGGCGGCAGGCCUAACACAUGCAAGUCGAGCGAGCGGCGGACGGGUGAGUAAUAUAUGGGAAUCUGCCCGAUAGAAGGGGAUAACUACUGGAAACAGUGGCUAAUACCGCAUACGAUCGGAGGAGCCAAUAUGGGAUUAGCUAGUAGGUGGGGUAAAGUCUCACCUAGGCCAAGAUCCCUAGCUGGUAUGAGAGGAUGAUCAGCCACACUGGGACUGAGACACGGCCCAGACUCCUACGGGAGUCAGCAGUGGGGAAUAUUGCACAAUGGGCGAAAUCCUGAUGCAGCCAUGCCGCGUGUAUGAAGAAGGCCUUAGGGUUGUAAAGUACUUUCAGCGGGGAGGCGUUACCCGCAGAAGAAGCACCGGCUAACUCCGUGCCAGCAGCCGCGGUAAUUC
rnacentral:rRNA from 1 species